rnacentral:rRNA from 1 species
CCUACGGGUGGCAGCAGUGGGGAAUAUUGGACAAUGGGGGCAACCCUGAUCCAGCCAUGCCGCGUGUGUGAAGAAGGCCCUCGGGUUGUAAAGCACUUUCAGUGAGGAAGAACGCCUGGUGGUUAAUACCCAUCAGGAAAGACAUCACUCACAGAAGAAGCACCGGCUAACUCCGUGCCAGCAGCCGCGGUAAUACGGAGGGUGCGAGCGUUAAUCGGAAUUACUGGGCGUAAAGCGCGCGUAGGUGGCUUGAUAAGCCGGUUGUGAAAGCCCCGGGCUCAACCUGGGAACGGCAUCCGGAACUGUCAAGCUAGAGUGCAGGAGAGGAAGGUAGAAUUCCCGGUGUAGCGGUGAAAUGCGUAGAGAUCGGGAGGAAUACCAGUGGCGAAGGUGGCCUUCUGGACUGACACUGACACUGAGGUGCGAAAGCGUGGGUAGCAAACAGGAUUAGAUACCCCAGUAGUC